ensembl:lncRNA
GGGAGGAUCUGGACAGUACACCACAGCAUGUACUCUACCUACAGAACUUAUAGAAAGUUUACAUUCUUCCAAGCCUUAGAAUAAUUGGAACCAGACACUUGGAUGCCAACAGGGCUCUCUCUCAUCUUUAUUGUUUUUGAUGCAUCUCUUUCACUCUGGACUGUUUUCUCUUUCUUAUUGCACAUAGUCAAAGAUUGCUUCCAGCAGCCCCCAAUUUCAACAUUACAGCUUCAUCCUCAGAGGGCUUGCAAACUAAAAGGAGGCCAUACGCCCAGGCGGAACGAUACGGCAGCGCCGCGGUGCCUCGGUUGGCCUCGGAUGGCCUCGGAUAGCCGGUCCCCCGCCGUGCGUCGGGACCGGGGUCCGGUGCGGAGAGCCCCUCGUCCCGGGAAACGGGGCGCGGCCGGAAAGGGGGCCGCCCCCUCGCCCGUCACGCAACGCACGUUCGUGGGGAACCUGGUGCUAAACCAUUCGUAGACGACCUGCUUCUGGGUCGGGGUUUCGUACGUAGCAGAGCAGCUCCCUCGCUGCGAUCUAUUGAAAGUCAGCCCUCGACACAAGGGUUUGUAAAAAUAAUAAUAAUAAAAAAAUAAUAAUAAAAAUAAAAAUAAAAGGAGGCCAUAAAGAAGAACUGGCAUUAAAUAUUUCCAGUUAAAUGAAACUCUAACUCCAGUUUUAGGAGAGGGAAAAGAAGGUGGCGUUUUAAGGCUCCAGGUGUGUGUGUGUGGGGGGGGGGGUCUGAGAGUGUGGAAAGGACUGUGAAAUGUGGAUGCUGUCAAGCCUGACUUUCUCCCUCUGAGAGAUGCCUGGAGCUGACCCUGACUACUGUAAGAGAGGCAAACACCAGUUCUUCCCUGAAGGAGAUUGUACUGUUUAAAAAAAAAGGGGGGGGGGGCUGGAGAAAUGAAUUAACUGUUUUAUUCCAUUAAGUAAUGGGAUAAAAAUGCAUGUUGAAUGGUAGAAAGCCUAAUGUUUCCCAUCAUAGUUGGGGAGGGGGGAAAAAAGGCUUUUAGGGUUAAAAGGAGACUUUGCUUCAGUUUGCAGGGACAAACUAAAUGCACUAAUGCGCUGGGGAUGGAAGAGGUGGGGGGCAACGGGCAUGGCCACGCUGAGUGAGGACCGGAUAGGAGAGCAGUUUCACAUUCUGGAUGUUUUCUCCUUUUUGUUAGGACUCGAGCUCUACUUCACCCCGUCUGUCUCUAGAGGUUAUCUUUCUCCACUUCGCAUUGUUCUUCAGAAGAAACACAGGAAACACAGGAAGACAUACCCUAAGACAGCUGGUUUCCCUUCACAGCUCCAGAGCUACUAGGUGUUUAUAGCGUUUUUAAAGCUUAGGAAUCAGACUGAGUAACCCAGAAAAUAAGGAGCAUUAAUGAAGUCACUCAUGGAUACAAUAAACACUGAACAGGGAGUUAUUUACUCUACCUCAGAUUAAAAAUUUGAAAUCAUACUUGUCAGGAAAAUAAAUUUCAUCCUGACACUCAUCUGCUCCAGAACCUUUCCUCUUUUGACUGCUUGUAAUUCCCGGGUGAGCAAUGUCUGGGCUUUGUGGUGGCCAUUUUCCUUCUUCCUCUUCUUUCUACCGCUUAGCCAGCUGCCUCCCACCAGUCACCAUCAUCCAGAGAGAUUUCUGGGCAGGCUAGCCCUCUCCCAGCAUUUUAAAAAUUUAACUCCCCUCCGAUUAUAUGAUGUUUCUUUCAUUUGGUCUGCCCAAAACAUAUAUGAAAAAUUUCUCUCAGAGCACUUUGCAAAAUAUUGAGUUCAUAAGAGGUGCUUUGGAUAUACACGUGUUUUGCCUUAUUAAUUGGACUCUGUCUCUUUGGAUAUCUGACCUCCUGGCACAUUAUCAUCAUCAAUAAAUGAAGACAGGUAUAAUUCCUAAACUGGAGUAAAAUUGGAACAUCAACUCUAAACUCAAUUUUUUAAAUAGCAAAAUAUUUGUUUAUGGUAUUAGACUAACUUUUAUAAUAUAGGGUCCUCAACGAGCAAACUAAUACUAAAGUAAAUGAAUAUGUUAAUGGUAAAAAUUUAUCUGUGGCUAGACCUUUUUAUAGAGAAUGGUGGCGUGCUCUAGUUAACCAAGCUUUGGAGCUCGGAGGUGGAAAUCCUGGACUCUGAGAUCCCCCUGACCCCUCAAGGUUGCUGUGAGGUUCAAAGGAGAAAAUGUGGGCACCUGGGUGGCUCAG